rnacentral:lncRNA from 1 species
AAAAAAAAAAAAAAGAUCGACGACACAGAGAAGUAUGAAUGACGAUAAAAUUUGUGGUGGAAAUGGAAAUGGAAAUGGAAAUGGAAAUGGCGGUGAUGAUUCGAAGGAAGGAAGGGAGGAAGGGAGCUAGGGAGGGAGGGGGAGAGCAGCUGCUUCUGCCGAAAGCAGUUUGCGUAAGCAGGCAGCUGCGGCAGUCUGGGGGCAGUCUGGGGGAAAGGAAGAAAUUAAGAGAGCGGCGGGAAAUCCAGCACAAGAAAAGCAAAAGAAAUCAGCCCAUUUCCAGCUCAAGCUGGCAGAAACGAGCCGCUGCUUUUACGCACAACUUUUUCUCAGAAGAAAGAGAAGAGAAAAAAAAAAAA